UGAAAGAACUUAGACUGAUCAGUCGAACUUUAGCUCACAAAGAAUUUAGUUGAGCAGUGACGGUGGAGAAUGCUGAGCAGAGUUAUGAGUUUCCUUUUAUUUUAAGUAGUGGCUCUCGGCGGUGCAUGUCUCCAUACAUGUGACCGUGUUCAUUCCGCUGUAUAGCAUCAACUGUUCUUCCAUACUCUGAUAAAUAUCUAUUGAUGAAUAAGAUUUUAUAUUUUGAUAA